CUAACUCGCGGGGCUUCCCACCCUGGGGCCCUUCUCUUUAAACCCCGACUGGCUUGUGUGAAGAUGUCUGGAAUGCACGGUGAAGACCUGUGUUGAACUUUGUGAAUGUCACCACGCCCAAUUAAAAAAAAAAAAAGUUGCCCGGUACAGAUAAUUAUCCAGUAAAGAUGCUCUACUGUGUCAUAACUAGGCAUCACAAAACCUAGACUUGGGGCUCUUAGAGUGUUUGCCUACCGAGGGAUAGGCAUGGAGUCCAAUGGCAACACAGAAAGAAUCAAAAUCUGGAUGGACCACAUUAGCUGAUAGAAUGUCUGCUUGCCCAGCAAGUAAAUCCCAAGCACUUCAUAACGGAGACCUGGUGGUUCACACCUGUAAUCUCAACAGCCAGAUGGUGAAACCAGGAAUAUUACAAGUUCAAGAUCAUCUUUGGCUACAUGGUAAACUCAAGGCCAUUCUGGGAAUACAUGAGAUUCAUCAUCAUUGUCGUCGUCGUCGCCAUCGUCAUCAUCAUCAUCUAGAUAAAUCUGGUAUCCAAACUCUCCCCACAGCCUAUGCGACAUCAAGCAGGAGGAAGCCUGGUUCACAGCAGACCCCGAGCGCUCUAUCAUAUCUAGCAUACUGUGACCAACCCCCAGCCUACCUUCACAUAGUCCCCAGCGGCCUCCAGCUCUGCAGCAGUCCUGGAAGAAGAAAAAAGAGAACUUCACCUUCAGGAACCUCUGGCCUGGACCAGAAGGAAGAGUGAACUUCCACUAGGAUCCUGAAGAAGUGGAGAAGGAGGCUGCCCCACCCCUCUGCCAGGCGUGGCCUUACCCUCUGUCCUGAGCUUCUUCCUUUGGGCCUUAGGGUCUGGUCAUAAGGCCCGAGAAGAGAUUCGCAGCUCUGACACCUGCUUCCCUCUCUCUGAGGCUUGGCUUCCUCAUCUUCUGAGGGGACAUCAUGUGUGCCUGGAAGGCCAUGAUGCUCAUGUGACCGUCAGUGCCGGGUCCCCUCACCCCAGUGGGUUCCAGAUCCUGGUGCCACUCUCCUGGGGUAUUAGACCUUUCCUUACACAGACCCUGUUUUUGUUUUGCUCAGUUUUGUUAUGUUUUCAAAAUAAACGUCUAGGCUUGUCUCAAA
rnacentral:lncRNA from 1 species